rnacentral:misc_RNA from 1 species
GAAAUGUGGGUUGCUCACUUGGGUGGUGAGUUGCUCACUUGGAUGUAUACCGAGGAGCUGGCGAGCGGGGGGGAUUCGAGAUCCUCCGAGUAGAGAAUACGAAUGAGAGAUUAGACAAUAGUUCAAUCAAUAAGCAAA